GGUAUUUUGUAAUGGCUGAGUGCUCUAUGGUAUUGAAUGUAGCUGAUAGGAUGGGGCUGGAUCUGGUACACACAACCUCACUUCCGCUCACCAGCAGAAUGGACAGUGGUGUCACAUAGACGUUACACGGAAACAAACUGAGAAUAUUGCCCAUCUGCAAGGUGCAAUAUAUACAAUAUGUUUUUUUUGUAAAUACUUUUCUUUUUCAUAAUUUUUUGUUUUAUUUUGGCCACAACCAAGGAUGUAAAUACAAACAAAUGAAAUAUGAAAAACCAGUAUAUGUAAAAACAUAUGCAACACUCACAAACUGGAUGUUUGAGCACCAACUUGCCGGUACCUGCGUCCCACCAUCUGGUAAAAUAAGCGGGGGGGGGGGCUAUGUAUAUUAACGCUUCAUACUGUACAUCUGUGUGCUUGUGUGUGUACUCUCACACGCGCAUGUCGAUCCGUAUUCAGAAGUGACCCCGUGACAUUAAGCAUCCCUGUGCCUCCUAUUCUUUGCAAAGAGAUAGCUAACAAUCCCUACAUUAUGUCUUGGCCACAACUCUAAGCUCUAUACAGUCAAGGCUAUACAGUGUGUGUCCACCAACAGACUGGUCUCUCCAGGUUAACGACGGGAGUGGGUAGCAGCCACAGUAGUCAGAGUAUGUGAAGGUGUAAUGGAUAUUGCCGUUUAGAAGGGGAGGGGGGAUGGCAAGACUUCGCUAAAAGAGAAAUCAGUCAAUAUUCCCAAUACAAAAGCUACGCCUAAACCACAGCUUGCCUGGCUACUGCCCGCUACGUCUUAACUUGGGAUAGCCCAUUUAAUGGAAUCCCCCAACAUCCCUGUCCUUUCAUCAGCAGUCAUAGCAUGGUUCAGUCCAACAGGCUGAAACAUGGGGAGAGGGAGGAGAAUGUCUGUGAUGUUAAGUUUUUUUGCAGGGGGGCUGUGUUUGCUCCACAUAUGUCAAAAUGUAGUUUUGUGAAAACAAAAAAAGGAACUCGAGAUGUCUAUGCAAAUCCGUUACAACCCCUUCAAAAGCGUGCUCCCUUUACUGGCGAGGCAGACUGGCAGUCAUGUUUAAAUUAAAGCAGUUUCAACCUUGUCCGGAUUCCCCUGACCCAACUCAACUGCAUGAAUCCCAUGGGUCCUUAUUUGAUCUGGGUACAAAGGCCCUUGCUACUCUGUUGCGGGCUGAGGGUCAGGGCUGUCAAAUGAGUGGGGCCCAGGGUUGACGGGAUACUCGAAGGCUCUGUUCUCCAACCAUAACCCAGCUCACCGGCUGAUCCCUGGGGUCCAGCAAGUCUACUUGUUGAAAUGACAAAAGGCCAAGUGUUGGAAGGGCACUGUCAUAGAAAGGUUGUGCUGUUGUAAACUGCUCCAGAAUCAGUGUGUGUGAUGUGUGUAUCUGUGUUACAGUAUUUGUCUACAUGAUGCAACGCUCUCAUGGUUUAGCAGAUCGAUUUGGUGCUACCUAACAAGGCCCACGCAGCCUCAGACGAGUCCCUACAUUUUUGUAGAGUUCUUUUAGAAAGACGAGUGGAUAAGAAAGAAAAAACGCUGGCAUAGAUGAGCUUUCAAAUAUUUAAUCUAGCGGCCAAAGGACUGUCAUUCAAGACGUCAUGGCGCUCAGUGGGUGUCGAGCGACGUACGUGGGCGAGAUGCGAGUAACUUGUGCAAUGGCCGGAUGAUCUCUCACCUCUCCUCAUGGAGGUCAAAGGCCAGACCACUCAGAGACACGAGCGAAUGCACUGAUGCACAAUCGUUGAACAAACCAAGUUUGUUCACACAUUAACAGGACAGCUUUAACCCGCUGUACACUGACAUAGCAGCAUGUACGUAGUUGAGACGCACUUUCCGUAGCCUCGAUUUGAGAGUCUUUCCCGGAAAAUAUAAUAAUAUAAAAACAAUUAAUGAUUGUGUCAGCGUAAAGCGUUUAAACAUACUGAUUGCACCCGAUAAUGACCAAAUAGCGCUUGCAACAUUUACUUAGAAUUAGUUGGACCGUUAUAUCAGUGUCGCUGUAUCCUCAAAGCCAUAGCAGUUGACAACAUAUAUAUAUAUUUUUUUUACAAAUGUUUUGAAUGAAGUGCGUUAUGUGAGCGAGUGGUGCUGUAGUUUAACUAGUCUUGUCAGACCCUAUUAGGCGAUUUACUGUGAGAAAAUGUGAAUAUGCAUGACCCAUGAGAGUGUUGGCUAGAACACCUACUCUAAACAUGCACACUCACAGACACGCACCUUGUUUCUCCGGACUGGGUAAGAAAGCUAUUGAAGGAUUCUCUCAGGUAAAAAAUAAAUAAUACAAUUUUCUAGAUAAAUGAUGAUAGACCUUAGAUGAACCACAAUUGUUAGCUCAUAUUUGUUGCCCUAUGGAUGGAGAAUGUUAUGCUAUUUACUGUUUGCACUGUGCUCCCUCUCGUUGGUUUUCCCAGUUCCUUCCCCCUUUACCCUUCCUCGUACGAAGAAACUGCACCGCAUCCUCAUAGCUUUGUUUUAAAUGAGAGGGUACUUCUGCCCGCGUGUUGGUUUCUACAGUGCAAGCAGCAAUACUCAGCUGCCCCGCAGUUAGCGAACGGCCCACUUGCAUGGCUUCCAUCCAACAUGGCAGCAAUUCACCAUCAAAAGGAAAAGGAAAAGCUUUGCACCUCUGUCCACAGACGUGUUCUAUUUAGGUCUGCAUAAUGCCAAUACUUAGUGAUGCAUUGGAAGCUUGGUAUGGCUCAAAUUUGUUUGUGUUGUAUGUGUGUGUGUGUCCGUCUUCGUCGGUUUGUAUGUGUGUGUUGUGGUGUGUUGAGCAUCCGCUGACCCGCUUUGGUCUCCCCAACUCCCUAAGCAUCUUUUGAGGCCGCAGUACGAGAAAGAUUUCUGUAAAACAGCCUUGGUCAUAGGCUCACAUUUUUAUUUCCCUUGAAGAAUGUAGCCAAUAACGUGUUUGAGGGGUCAAAUAGGGGUGCAUAUAUUUGUCCUUUUUUGCUCCAUGUACAAGUGGGUAACCUGGAUGAGUGUGGAAAUGUUUUUGUUUUUUUGCAUUUCUCAACUCCCCCUGAGGCACCCUCGAAGAGUGGGGGUCGCAGCCAGGGAUCAGAGAUUAUUGACGGUGACCCUGGAGCAAUUAGGGUUAAGUGCCUUCCUCAAGGGCAGAUCAACAGAUUUUUCACCUUUUCGGCUCAGGGAUUCUGAACUAGCAACCUUUCGGUUACUAUUCCAAUACCCUGACCGCUAGGCUACCUGCUGCCCAAAAGGCUUGGGAACCGUUCGGGUGUGGGUGAGGGGGGUUGUAACUCACAAGUGCAGAAUGUGAGCUGGUAGGAAUGCUUUUUAAAAAGGGGCUCAACUGGAUGGACUUUUAUGCUUGCAAAUGGAAACCAGACUGUUGAUAGUGUUACCUCUGUCCUGGGUUCUCUUGUUUUUGGCAUUGCAGGUUUUGAAACGGCUGCCUUAUUGAUUGUGUUUUGUAUUGCUCCCAUGUGAAACUGUACUGCAGUAUUUUAUGUAGAGAUCGAUGAUUUGUGUUGACUUUCAUUGGUUUUCUUUGAAAAAAUGCAGACAAUAGAAUUGGGCUCUUGGGGGAAAGAUAGGCCUAUAUGUAUGUUUGCUUGAU